rnacentral:rRNA from 1 species
CAGCCGCCGCGGGAAUACAGAGGGUGCGAGCGUUAAUCGGAUUUACUGGGCGUAAAGCGUGCGUAGGCGGCUAAUUGAGUCGGAUGUGAAAUCCCCGAUCUUAACUUGGGAAUUGCAUUCGAUACUGGUUAGCUAGAGUGUGGGAGAGGAUGGUAGAAUUCCAGGUGUAGCGGUGAAAUGCGUAGAGAUCUGGAGGAAUACCGAUGGCGAAGGCAGCCAUCUGGCCUAACACUGACGCUGAGGUACGAAAGCAUGGGGAGCAAACAGGAUUAGAUACCCCGGUAGUCCCUGUCUCUUAUAC